rnacentral:rRNA from 1 species
UACGUAGGGUGCGAGCGUUAAUCGGAAUUACUGGGCGUAAAGCGUGCGCAGGCGGUUUUGUAAGCCAGAUGUGAAAUCCCCGGGCUUAACCUGGGAAUGGCAUUUGGGACUGCAAGGCUGGAGUGUGGCAGAGGAGACUGGAAUUCCUGGUGUAGCAGUGAAAUGCGUAGAUAUGUGGAGGAACACCGAUGGCGAAGGCAGCCCCCUGGGUUAACACUGACGCUCAUGCACGAAAGCGUGGGGAGCAAACAGG